AUACCUUUCUCGGCCUUUUGGCUAAGAUCAAGUGUAGUAUCUGUUCUUAUCAGUUUAAUAUCUGAUACGUGGGCCAUCGGUCCACAUGAUAUUAAAUUAAUUUUUCUAGUGGGGGAAGGCCGUUACGGUAGCUUGCUGCUGGGCCUCUCGCGCGUCGCUCCGGCGUUGCACUAUAGCCAUUGCCUGGCGCACCCCAC